ensembl:lncRNA
AUGUUGCAUUUACAAGUUUUACCAGUCUGCUGUCAGGAUCUUGCACAACGACUUACAAAACCACAGAAGAAACCCAUCCAGAGGCUCAGUAAUAAGAAGAAGGGAUGGGGAGAGAAGUGGAGGCAAGGGGAAGGAACACGAUUUGUACUGGAAUUUUGCAGUAAAACGGAGAAUGACUGGAGGGCACACACGCAAGAUGUCAGUUCUGGAUGGARAGGAGGAGAGCAGACAGCUCCUGACUCAGCAGCGGGGAGCCCGUGGGAAGGGAGCGCCGAGACAGGCGGAGGCACGAUCGCCAGGAGCCGAGCUGGACGGGAGUCCAAGGAGCCAGGGUGUGCCUUGAAAACGCGGAGUACGAUUUUGGCCUGGAUCCUGAAGCCAAUGCGGCAGCCAGUGAAGGCCUCGAGGUGCACAAAGCAUCAUUUUUCUCAGCGAGAGACCGAACCAGAACUCGCGGAGCCGUGACACUGCCCUCGCUGCGCCACAAYGUCCUCGUGCUGCGACGCGCUGAUGUACUGAUGUUUGCGUUUUCCUGCUAGGCAAAACACCGGCAGCCAGACUGGCUCCAGCCAGAAUACGGCUGGAAACAGAUGUGGCUCAAACAGCCUGUCCCCGCUGCUGUGCCACCCGCGCUGGCUCUCCAGCAGCUCGCACUGGUCGGCAACCAGGCGAUGCAGCUGGCAGACGCCCGGUCUCCCGGGGCUGUACCUGCUCCCGCUCGGCAGCUCUUCUGCUCUCGACUAAAGAGCGCUCUCUCAUUCAGGCCAGAAUACGCGUUAGUGCCAUUUUAUUUAUUUUUUUUUUACCAAAACAGUAAAAACGGACAAGCAUUUGCAAAUUGAACAUUUUUCUAGCUAAACAGUGAUUUGAACCGAUGUCGCAGACCAAGACUCCAGGAGGAAGGCUUACGAGAAGUGCCCGCUGCUUUCCCGGGGAGAGCCCCUUGGCUGAUCCCGCGGGACGACAACCAGGGACACGCACAAUACCUACAGCAUUUUCCCAUUUAAAUAACAGCCCUUCCAAGGCAAAAAUGCAGCUCUUCUCAGGGCGGUCCUYAAAGACUGAAAAAGAGCAGCAGGCUGCCAUCCGCAGGAGGAGCCAGGAAACAGAGCAUCGGGGGGAGAACAACCUCUGAAAAGGCAGAGCACCAGUGACGAGGAGCAUCUCCAUUUGUGCUGGUGAAGGACUGCUCGGCAUUACGCCCUCCUCGGCUGGCAACGGCAGGCCGUGGCUGAGCGGAAGAGGAGCAGUCAGCUAGUCAAAGGUACACUGGCACACUGAACAUCCAGAGCCUGGGAAUCUCUAAAUUUCCCCUUAACAGAUCAUAGGAGAAAUGCCUUAGGUAAGGUCAAUAGUGCCUUUCGCUUUGAGAGAUCCCAAGCUAAAUAUAGCGCACAAAAGACUCCGUUGAAAUGUGUGUAGAGUUGCCUGUACGAGGUCAAUCUAUUCAGCUGCAGAAGCUCGAUGGGUUGCUACGUAGAGGAAAAUAGAAAAAUAUUUUUCCUUUUUUUUUGAUUUGUGUCAAAACUGCAAACACUGCCACCUUACCCUUCCGAGCUGAUGAGGCUUGUGAAGAACCUAACCAUUGCGAUCGACAACGCAAGGUGCUGAUAAGAACAGAUGUUUAGGCACAAAACAGCCCAAAGAAGGUACGAGUGAGGAGAAAGACCUGAGCGGCCAAAAACGCGGCAGAGCACAUUUACACGAACAGCGAGACGCCUUUCUAACUACAGAAAGGACGGGAUGUUGUAACCGGCAGGAUUUGGCCGGCUAGGUGUGAGCAUGAAGCAUCAUUUUAUUAAAAAUGGAUUGAAGAAAUACUAGAGACCUUUAAUUCUAAUUAUACUUGAAAAGAGUCUUGCUCCCCUCAGCCAGUGAUCUCGCUGGUAUCUGCCAGCAGUUYAGUGCCGAACUAUUAAGAACGAUUGCCUACAGCACAGUGAUUUUCAUGCGCUUGUAAUCCUUGCUAAUAAAAAUGUGUGUCUCGAAGACA